rnacentral:rRNA from 1 species
UACGUAGGGUGCAAGCGUUGUCCGGAAUUAUUGGGCGUAAAGGGCUCGUAGGCGGUUUGUCGCGUCUGCUGUGAAAUCCUCAGGCUCAACCUGGGGCUUGCAGUGGGGUACGGGCAGACUAGAGUGGCGGUAGGGGUGACUGGAAUUCCUGGUGUAGCGGUGGAAUGCGCAGAUAUCAGGAGGAACACCGAUGGCGAAGGCAGGUCUC